GAUGAACGCUAGCGGCAGGCCUAAUACAUGCAAGUCGAACGGUAACAUGAGUAGCAAUACUUGAUGACGAGUGGCGCACGGGUGCGUAACGCGUUUGCAAUCUACCUUUAACAGGUGAAUAGCUCGAAGAAAUUCGGAUUAAUACACCAUAAUAUUGAGAAGUGGCAUCACUUUUCAAUUAAAGCUCCGGCGGUUAAAGAUGAGCAUGCGUGACAUUAGCUAGUUGGUAGAGUAAUAGCCUACCAAGGCAACGAUGUCUAGGGGAUCUGAGAGGAUUAACCCCCACACUGGUACUGAGACAGGGACCAGACUCCUACGGGAGGCAGCAGUAAGGAAUAUUGGACAAUGGUGGGAACACUGAUCCAGCCAUGCCGCGUGAAGGAUGAAGGCCCUAUGGGUUGUAAACUUCUUUUGUACGGGAAAAAACCUUCUUACGUGUAAGAAGCUGAUUGUACUGUAAGAAUAAGGAUCGGCUAACUCCGUGCCAGCAGCCGACGG
rnacentral:rRNA from 1 species